rnacentral:rRNA from 1 species
AAGGGCGUAUGGGGGAUGUCUUGGCAUCAGAAGGCGAUGAAGGGCGUGGAAGUCUGCGAAAAGCUCGGGGGAGUUGACAACAAUGAUGAUCCCGAGAUCCCUGAAUUGACAUGCGAUGAAUACAUAGUCGUAUGUGGCUAACCCAGGAACU